GGGGCGUAGCCAAGCGGUAAGGCACCGGAUUUUGAUUCCGGCAUUCCCAGGUUCGACGGAUUCGCCGGGAGCGAAUCCGGACAGCGGAGCGAAGCGACGCUGGCCCCGAAGGGGCGAGGCGCAGGGAUGCGCCGAGCAAUCCUGGCGCCGCGCCA
rnacentral:tRNA from 1 species